GACGAACGCUGGCGGCGUGCCUAAUACAUGCAAGUAGAACGCUGAAGGAGGAGCUUGCUUCUCUGGAUGAGUUGCGAACGGGUGAGUAUCGCGUAGGUAACCUGCCUGGUAGCGGGGGAUAACUAUUGGAAACGAUAGCUAAUACCGCAUAAGAGUAGAUGUUGCAUGACAUUUGCUUAAAAGGUGCAAUUGCAUUAUUACUAGAUGGACCUGCGUUGUAUUAGCUAGUUGGUGGGGUAACGGCUCACCAAGGCGACGAUACAUAGCCGACCUGAGAGGGUGAUCGGCCACACUGGGACUGAGACACGGUCCAGACUCCUACGGGAGGCAGCAGUAGGGAAUCUUCGGCAAAGGACGGAAGUCUGACCGAGCAACGCCGCGUGAGUGAAGAAGGUUUUCGGAUCGUAAAGCUCUGUUGUAAGGGAAGAACGAGUGUGAGAGUGGAAGGUUCACACUGGAACGGAAUCUUACAAGAAGGGGACGGCAAACUACUG
rnacentral:rRNA from 1 species